AGAGUUUGAUCCUGGCUCAGGAUGAACGCUGGCGGCAUGCCUAAGACAUGCAAGUCGAACGAGAUGGCCCAGUGAAGGUUGAGUGCUUGCACGAGACUGAAUCUGGAUUCCCAUCUAGUGGCAGACGGGUGAGUAACACGUGGGUGACCUACCUUUUCGUUGGAGGUAACAGUUGGAAACGAUUGCUAAUACCGAAUAAAAUGUAAGAGUCAAUUUUACAUUGAAAGGAGCCUUUAAAGCUUCGCGAUUAG
rnacentral:rRNA from 1 species